rnacentral:piRNA from 1 species
UUUCGAUUCAAUUUAGUGAAA